AUGAAAUAUGGCCCUUUGUAGCAACGUGGAUGGAACUGGAGAGUGUUAUGCUAAGUGAAAUAAGGCAGAGUAAGACAAAUACCAUAUGAUUUCACUUAUAUGUGGAAUCUAAAAAACAAAACAAAUG